rnacentral:rRNA from 1 species
UACGUAGGGCGCAAGCGUUGUCCGGAAUUAUUGGGCGUAAAGAGCUCGUAGGCGGCUUGUCACGUCGGUUGUGAAAGCCCGGGGCUUAACCCCGGGUCUGCAGUCGAUACGGGCAGGCUAGAGUGUGGUAGGGGAGAUCGGAAUUCCUGGUGUAGCGGUGAAAUGCGCAGAUAUCAGGAGGAACACCGGUGGCGAAGGCGGAUGUAUGGGCCAUUACUGACGCUGAGGAGCGAAAGCGUGGGGAGCGAACAGG